UGGCUCAGAUUGAACGCUGGCGGCAGGCCUAACACAUGCAAGUCGAGCGGUAGCACAAGAGAGCUUGCUCUCUGGGUGACGAGCGGCGGACGGGUGAGUAAUGUCUGGGAAACUGCCUGAUGGCGGGGGAUAACUAGUGGAAACGGUAGCUAAUACCGCAUAACGUCGCAAGACCAAAGUGGGGGACCUUCGGGCCUCACGCCAUCAGAUGUGCCCAGGUGGGAUUAGCUGGUAGGUGGGGUAACGGCUCACCUAGGCGACGAUCCCUAGCUGGUCUGAGAGGAUGACCAGCCACACUGGAACUGAGACACGGUCCAGACUCCUACGGGAGGCAGCAGUGGGGAAUAUUGCACAAUGGGCGCAAGCCUGAUGCAGCCAUGCCGCGUGUGUGAAGAAGGCCUUCGGGUUGUAAAGCACUUUCAGCGAGGAGGAAGGGUAAUGUGUUAAUAGAACAUUGCA
rnacentral:rRNA from 1 species